rnacentral:rRNA from 1 species
UACGUAGGGUCCGAGCGUUGUCCGGAAUUAUUGGGCGUAAAGGGCUCGUAGGCGGUUUGUCGCGUCGGGAGUGAAAUCUUACAGCUUAACUGUGAACUUGCUUCCGAUACGGGCAGACUUGAGGCAUUCAGGGGAGAACGGAAUUCCUGGUGUAGCGGUGAAAUGCGCAGAUAUCAGGAGGAACACCGGUGGCGAAGGCGGUUCUCUGGGAAUGUACUGACGCUGAGGAGCGAAAGCCAGGGGAGCAAACGGG